AAAACCUCAAACCCUAUUUCUCUAAUUCCUCGUCCAAUUUUUUUUUACAAGUCGCCAGCCACGCCUCUCUCUCGUUCUCUCCCCUGCGCCGCUGCUAGUGCUACUCAUCUCCACCGAGCCGCCUCUCCGCUUCUACCGUUCCUCAUCUCUGCCCAACGUCGCCUCACGGUCUUCCUUGUUUCCCCUCAUCUAUCUUCGUCUCUGAUCCACAGACCGCCGCAAUCGCUCCCCCGGCUAAAGUAUAGAAAAUAAUUUAAUUUUAAUUCGAUCGGUAAGAAAAUUCUCAUCUUUUCUAUGGUAGAAAAUUAUGGGCUUAAAAUAUUUUAUUUUUGUAACUUAAUUGUUCAUCGAAACAUUGAGGAAUAUUUUGUGAUGUUUGUAUUUUGUUUGUUAUUAUUUUUGUAGUUUCAUUUACGAUGUCUGUAGUUGUUUUUUAUUUGCAGGUGUGGACUUUAUGCUAAGAAUUGCUCCCAUUCUUGCAUUGUUGUUGGUGGUGCCGACGACAAAUCUCCGUAAAAGUGGAGAUGAAAAAGUGAAGGGAUAGAAAAGGUGAAUGGUGGAUCUCGUGCCUAGGGUUUUAGAGCGUGUCGAAUACUUUUUGAAUUUUUGUUUUGAGAUGUUUUGUGAUGUUUUUUUGAUUAAAUUUUGCAUGAAUUCGUAGUUACUUACAGGCCGAUCGAGGAACAAUUUAAUAGUUGAGUUUAAUAUUUUAUAGUUGUUUUCUAUAGUUUAUAGUUGUUUUCGAUUUUUUGUAGUUGUUUUCGAUUGCUAGUUGAUUUCGAUUGAUUUUGAUGUUUAUAUAUUUGAUUUCGUUAAUUUGUAGUUGUUUUUAUUUCAAGUAAACUCUAUUAUUGUAAAC
rnacentral:lncRNA from 1 species